rnacentral:rRNA from 1 species
CCGUAGGGUGAACCUGCGGAGGGAUCAUUACACAAAUAUGAAGGCGGGCUGGAAUCUCUCGGGGUUACAGCCUUGCUGAAUUAUUCACCCUUGUCUUUUGCGUACUUCUUGUUUCCUUGGUGGGUUCGCCCACCACUAGGACAAACAUAAACCUUUUGUAAUUGCAAUCAGCGUCAGUAACAAAUUAAUAAUUACAACUUUCAACAACGGAUCUCUUGGUUCUGGCAUCGAUGAAGAACGCAGCGAAAUGCGAUAAGUAGUGUGAAUUGCAGAAUUCAGUGAAUCAUCGAAUCUUUGAACGCACAUUGCGCCCUUUGGUAUUCCAAAGGGCAUGCCUGUUCGAGCGUCAUUUGUACCCUCAAGCUUUGCUUGGUGUUGGGCGUCUUGUCUCUAGCUUUGCUGGAGACUCGCCUUAAAGUAAUUGGCAGCCGGCCUACUGGUUUCGGAGCGCAGCACAAGUCGCACUCUCUAUCAGCAAAGGUCUAGCAUCCAUUAAGCCUUUUUUUCAACUUUUGACCUCGGAUCAGGUAGGGAUACCCGCUGAACUUAAGCAUAUCAA